ensembl:lncRNA
UGAAUGAGUAGGUGUGUCCAAACUUUUGACUGGUACUGUAUAUAUGUAUAUAUGUUAACUUUUUAUAGAUUUGUUACAUUUUCACAAUAGAGCGCCUGUAGCACAGGCAAAGAUAUUUUUCCAGCACCCCAAUUGAAAAUAACAUUCAUUAAAAAUACCCUGCACCAACAAACUUCUUCCCGUGGCUAUACGUUUUGGUUUCUGCCCUAACACAACACAGCUGAUUCAAAUGAUAAAAGCUUGAUGAUUAGUUGAUUAUUUGACCGGUUAAAGGAUGAGAGAGGGAGGGGUCUGACUGGAUGGGUCCUUAAAAAAGGAGAGCAGGAAGCAGUAGAACUCAACUCACAAACAGAGCGCUGACAUGACCAGACUACAGGAGACUAUCACCAUGGCGACGUUGACCCUUCUACUGCUUCUCAGCGCUGCCUUUACACUGGGUGACAGAAUGACUUUGAACAUAGCAAGUAAGAGUCAGCCUCACACUUUAAAUCACGAGUGUCAAACUCAUUCCACGGAGUCUCUUGCAUCUGCAGUUGGCUUACCUUUCAAUGAAGACCUAGACAACCAGGUGAGGGGAGUUCCUUACUAAUUAGUGACCUAAAUUGAUCGAUCGAGGGAGGAGCGAAAACCUGUAGACGCUCUGUGGAAUGAGUUUGUGCUUUACAUCAUUGAUUGUGUAUGUUUUGUUGUAGUGUGGCAUGACUGAUCUCCAAAUGUUAUUUUUGACGCAAGGGUAAUUGCAAUUUUCUAUAGGCUUUUCAAUAUUGUGUGGAGUUGGGCCCUCUUGUAUAUUAGAACCCUCAAGGCAUGGGUUAAGACUGAGAUGAACUAAUUCCUAUAUUUGAGAGUCCAGAAGACACAUUCUCAGACUGGACAACUGACUAAUACUUCCAUUAUGACAUGUCUUUGUCUCUGUGUACUGCUUGCUCUAGCGCCACUGUCAGUUACUUGGAGAAAAACUGAAGCCUGUGUACAACACUGUAAAGUACCUUGGCGCAAACCUGGCAUCUGUGCACAGCUAUGAAGAGUUCCAAUUUCUACAGGCGGUGGUGUUGGUCGCGACUGGCAGUUUCCCUCUUACCUGGAUUGGUGGAUUUGAUGCUGUUCAAGCAAAGGUGGAAAAGGUGCCUUAAUACUUAAGACUAAUAAAACCAUCAGCUCAGAGUAGGUGUUAAGACACUGGUCAGACAACUCUGUGCCAGGAGUAAUCAACUCGCCAGUUUCUCAGCUGGUAAUGACCACAGUUUGAGGUACCGCAGAGGAAAGAUUGACAUUCGCAACUCGAGUUCUACGUGGAAUUUGGAUAUUACCAUUAUAUCCACACUCCCACUUUAAUAACUGUAAAUUGCUUUGGCACAGUAGGCAUGAAGUUACUUGCCUACCUUUUAACCAAACAUAAUUCAUGAAAACAUGGCCCGAUGUCAUGUCUUUAAACUGAUAUGUGAUUUUAAGUAUUUAGGCAUGUGACCUAUGCCUCGUGUGAAGUCAUUGUCAAAAGCAAAAUAAAUACUGUUGGUUGUAGGUCUAGAUUUGAGUUGAUCAUCUCGAAAUAUCCAGAGCAAUUGCCACAGAUACUCCAUUGGCCUCUAACGAUGUGAAGAGUCUGCAAUGUCGGGCAGAUUCGAGGGACAGGCACAAUUCCGAGAGAAAUGGUUUUCUCAGUUUCUGGCAUGUCAUGUGUGCUACUUGUAUCAGUACUUGUAACAACCUAAGCGUUACAAAACGUAUAUUUGCUCAAAUAAGCCAUUAUGUUUUUCGUUAAUGAAAUUCGACAUCUUAUUGGCGGCCAUACAAAAACGAGUUGCUUGGUGACCAGGAAAAACGCUACCCGCUUGAGAAGGCAGAUUUUGGGCUUAGUUACCCUUCUCGCUUCGCCUCUUCCUCUUUGCUAUGGCGCAGAAACAACUUACUAGCUGUCUUUUUCUAUUUUUGGGAUUUCUAGAAAUGUGGUUGUAGUAUCAACACUUGUGUAUUUUUUUUCACCCAACAGUUCCAUUGUCAGUCUGCACGUUUUGGUAGUGGUGGCUUUUACCGUUUUGUUGGAGGAAAGACCAUAAAUGUUGUGCUUGCUGAACAAUUUCUAAAAUGCAUGUAACAUUUGAUACUGAGAUCUCACUACUUCCACACAGGACAGGCUAUGGUUCUGGAGUGACGGCUCCAAAUUUGAUCACGAGAGCUGGGCUGAAGGGGAGCCGAAUAACCGCAAUGGUGCCAGAGAGCCAUGUAUUCAGAUCAACUUUGGCGGUACAUUAUCAUUCAUCAAAUUAAACUUUUUUGAGCAA